CAAAUGAGGGCUGAAGAAAUCCUGCUUGACGAUGAUGAUGAUGACUGGAUCUGUUGACUUCUGGUUCUGAGUCUGGCUGACAAACUGGAGACACGGGAGAAAAGCCUAGAAGAAAUCCUGCUUGACGAUGAUGAUGAUGACUGGAUCUGUUGACUUCUGGUUCUGAGUCUGGCUGACAAACUGGAGACACGGGAGAAAAGGCGAGAGCGAGGCCCGGUGAGGAGGUGAGCGGC